UUACGGUCAAAUCACGCUGAAAACACCGGUUCUCGUUCGAUCACCGAAGUUAAGGACCAGGUCAGUACUUAGAUGGGGACCGCUUGGGAACACCUGGUACUGUAAG